GGGUUGUGAGGUUAAGCGACUAAGCGUACACGGUGGAUGCCCUGGCAGUCAGAGGCGAUGAAGGACGUGCUAAUCUGCGAUAAGCGUCGGUAAGGUGAUAUGAACCGUUAUAACCGGCGAUUUCCGAAUGGGGAAACCCAGUGUGUUUCGACACACUAUCAUUAACUGAAUCCAUAGGUUAAUGAGGCGAACCGGGGGAACUGAAACAUCUAAGUACCCCGAGGAAAAGAAAUCAACCGAGAUUCCCCCAGUAGCGGCGAGCGAACGGGGAGCAGCCCAGAGCCUGAAUCAGUGUGUGUGUUAGUGGAAGCGUCUGGAAAGGCGCGCGAUACAGGGUGACAGCCCCGUACACAAAAAUGCACAUGCUGUGAGCUCGAUGAGUAGGGCGGGACACGUGGUAUCCUGUCUGAAUAUGGGGGGACCAUCCUCCAAGGCUAAAUACUCCUGACUGACCGAUAGUGAACCAGUACCGUGAGGGAAAGGCGAAAAGAACCCCGGCGAGGGGAGUGAAAAAGAACCUGAAACCGUGUACGUACAAGCAGUGGGAGCACGCUUAGGCGUGUGACUGCGUACCUUUUGUAUAAUGGGUCAGCGACUUAUAUUCUGUAGCAAGGUUAACCGAAUAGGGGAGCCGAAGGGAAACCGAGUCUUAACUGGGCGUUAAGUUGCAGGGUAUAGACCCGAAACCCGGUGAUCUAGCCAUGGGCAGGUUGAAGGUUGGGUAACACUAACUGGAGGACCGAACCGACUAAUGUUGAAAAAUUAGCGGAUGACUUGUGGCUGGGGGUGAAAGGCCAAUCAAACCGGGAGAUAGCUGGUUCUCCCCGAAAGCUAUUUAGGUAGCGCCUCGUGAAUUCAUCUCCGGGGGUAGAGCACUGUUUCGGCAAGGGGGUCAUCCCGACUUACCAACCCGAUGCAAACUGCGAAUACCGGAGAAUGUUAUCACGGGAGACACACGGCGGGUGCUAACGUCCGUCGUGAAGAGGGAAACAACCCAGACCGCCAGCUAAGGUCCCAAAGUCAUGGUUAAGUGGGAAACGAUGUGGGAAGGCCCAGACAGCCAGGAUGUUGGCUUAGAAGCAGCCAUCAUUUAAAGAAAGCGUAAUAGCUCACUGGUCGAGUCGGCCUGCGCGGAAGAUGUAACGGGGCUAAACCAUGCACCGAAGCUGCGGCAGCGACGCUGAUGCGUUGUUGGGUAGGGGAGCGUUCUGUAAGCCUGUGAAGGUGUGCUGUGAGGCAUGCUGGAGGUAUCAGAAGUGCGAAUGCUGACAUAAGUAACGAUAAAGCGGGUGAAAAGCCCGCUCGCCGGAAGACCAAGGGUUCCUGUCCAACGUUAAUCGGGGCAGGGUGAGUCGACCCCUAAGGCGAGGCCGAAAGGCGUAGUCGAUGGGAAACAGGUUAAUAUUCCUGUACUUGGUGUUACUGCGAAGGGGGGACGGAGAAGGCUAUGUUGGCCGGGCGACGGUUGUCCCGGUUUAAGCGUGUAGGCUGGUUUUCCAGGCAAAUCCGGAAAAUCAAGGCUGAGGCGUGAUGACGAGGCACUACGGUGCUGAAGCAACAAAUGCCCUGCUUCCAGGAAAAGCCUCUAAGCAUCAGGUAACAUCAAAUCGUACCCCAAACCGACACAGGUGGUCAGGUAGAGAAUACCAAGGCGCUUGAGAGAACUCGGGUGAAGGAACUAGGCAAAAUGGUGCCGUAACUUCGGGAGAAGGCACGCUGAUAUGUAGGUGAAGUCCCUCGCGGAUGGAGCUGAAAUCAGUCGAAGAUACCAGCUGGCUGCAACUGUUUAUUAAAAACACAGCACUGUGCAAACACGAAAGUGGACGUAUACGGUGUGACGCCUGCCCGGUGCCGGAAGGUUAAUUGAUGGGGUUAGCCGCAAGGCGAAGCUCUUGAUCGAAGCCCCGGUAAACGGCGGCCGUAACUAUAACGGUCCUAAGGUAGCGAAAUUCCUUGUCGGGUAAGUUCCGACCUGCACGAAUGGCGUAAUGAUGGCCAGGCUGUCUCCACCCGAGACUCAGUGAAAUUGAACUCGCUGUGAAGAUGCAGUGUACCCGCGGCAAGACGGAAAGACCCCGUGAACCUUUACUAUAGCUUGACACUGAACAUUGAGCCUUGAUGUGUAGGAUAGGUGGGAGGCUUUGAAGUGUGGACGCCAGUCUGCAUGGAGCCGACCUUGAAAUACCACCCUUUAAUGUUUGAUGUUCUAACGUUGACCCGUAAUCCGGGUUGCGGACAGUGUCUGGUGGGUAGUUUGACUGGGGCGGUCUCCUCCUAAAGAGUAACGGAGGAGCACGAAGGUUGGCUAAUCCUGGUCGGACAUCAGGAGGUUAGUGCAAUGGCAUAAGCCAGCUUGACUGCGAGCGUGACGGCGCGAGCAGGUGCGAAAGCAGGUCAUAGUGAUCCGGUGGUUCUGAAUGGAAGGGCCAUCGCUCAACGGAUAAAAGGUACUCCGGGGAUAACAGGCUGAUACCGCCCAAGAGUUCAUAUCGACGGCGGUGUUUGGCACCUCGAUGUCGGCUCAUCACAUCCUGGGGCUGAAGUAGGUCCCAAGGGUAUGGCUGUUCGCCAUUUAAAGUGGUACGCGAGCUGGGUUUAGAACGUCGUGAGACAGUUCGGUCCCUAUCUGCCGUGGGCGCUGGAGAACUGAGGGGGGCUGCUCCUAGUACGAGAGGACCGGAGUGGACGCAUCACUGGUGUUCGGGUUGUCAUGCCAAUGGCACUGCCCGGUAGCUAAAUGCGGAAGAGAUAAGUGCUGAAAGCAUCUAAGCACGAAACUUGCCCCGAGAUGAGUUCUCCCUGACUCCUUGAGAGUCCUGAAGGAACGUUGAAGACGACGACGUUGAUAGGCCGGGUGUGUAAGCGCAGCGAUGCGUUGAGCUAACCGGUACUAAUGAACCGUGAGGCUUAACCUUACAACGCCGAAGGUGUUU
rnacentral:rRNA from 1 species